rnacentral:rRNA from 1 species
UACGGGGGGAGCAAGCGUUGUUCGGAUUUACUGGGCGUAAAGGGCGCGUAGGCGGUCAGCACAAGUCAGUUGUGAAAUCUCCGGGCUUAACUCGGAAAGGUCAACUGAUACUGUGCGACUAGAGUGCAGAAGGGGCAACUGGAAUUCUCGGUGUAGCGGUGAAAUGCGUAGAGAUCAGGAAGAACAUCGGUGGCGAAGGCGCUCUGCUGGACCAUAACUGACACUCAGGGACGAAAGCUAGGGGAGCGAAUGGG